GAUCCAGACUUUGAUUCUGGCUCAGGAUGAACGCUAGCUACAGGCUUAACACAUGCAAGUCGAGGGAAACGAUAGAGAAAGCUUGCUUUUUCUAGGCGUCGACCGGCGCACGGGUGAGUAACGCGUAUCCAACCUGCCCAUCACUUGGGGAUAACCUUGCGAAAGUAAGACUAAUACCCAAUGAUAUCUCAAGAAGACAUCUGAAUGAGAUUAAAGAUUUAUCGGUGAUGGAUGGGGAUGCGUCUGAUUAGCUUGUUGGCGGGGUAACGGCCCACCAAGGCGACGAUCAGUAGGGGUUCUGAGAGGAAGGUCCCCCACAUUGGAACUGAGACACGGUCCAAACUCCUACGGGAGGCAGCAGUGAGGAAUAUUGGUCAAUGGGCGAGAGCCUGAACCAGCCAAGUAGCGUGCAGGAAGACGGCCCUAUGGGUUGUAAACUGCUUUUAUAAGGGAAUAAAGUGAGCCUCGUGAGGCUUUUUGCAUGUACCUUAUGAAUAAGGGCCGGCUAAUUCCGUGCCAGCAGCCGCGGUAAUACGGAAGGUCCGGGCGUUAUCCGGAUUUAUUGGGUUUAAAGGGAGCGUAGGCCGGAGAUCAAGCGUGUUGUGAAAUGUAGAUGCUCAACAUCUGCACUGCAGCGCGAACUGGUUUCCUUGAGUACGCACAAAGUGGGCGGAAUUCGUGGUGUAGCGGUGAAAUGCUUAGAUAUCACGAAGAACUCCGAUUGCGAAGGCAGCUCACUGGAGCGCAACUGACGCUGAAGCUCGAAAGUGCGGGUAUCGAACAGGAUUAGAUACCCUGGUAGUCCGCACGGUAAACGAUGGAUGCCCGCUGUUAGUCUGAAUAGGUCAGCGGCCAAGCGAAAGCACUAAGCAUCCCACCUGGGGAGUACGCCGGCAACGGUGCAACUCAAAUGAAUUGACGG
rnacentral:rRNA from 1 species